rnacentral:rRNA from 1 species
AUACGUAGGUGGCGAGCGUUAUCCGGAUUUACUGGGUGUAAAGGGCGCGUAGGCGGGGGUGCAAGUCAGAUGUGAAAUCUAUGGGCUCAACUCAUAGACUGCAUUUGAAACUGUACUUCUUGAGUACUGGAGAGGUAGACGGAAUUCCUUGUGUAGCGGUGAAAUGCGUAGAUAUAAGGAAGAACACCAGUGGCGAAGGCGGUCUACUGGACAGCAACUGACGCUGAGGCGCGAAAGCGUUGGGAGCAAACAGGAUUAGAUACCCUGGUAGUCCACGCUGUAAACGAUGAAUACUAGGUGUGGGGGGACUGACCCCUUCCGUGCCGCAGUUAACACAAUAAGUAUUCCACCUGGGGAGUACGGCCGCAAGGUUGAAACUUAAAGGAAUUGACGGGG